GCAGGAUUAGUUCAGUGGUAGAAUAUUCCCUUGUGGUGGGAAAUACACAGGUUCAAUUCCUGUAUCUUGCC